UAUAUUUUAAUAUAUGUUGUAUAUUAGUUUUUGAUACUAAAUGAGACAGUUAAAUUCUGUCAAAUAUAU
rnacentral:tRNA from 1 species